rnacentral:rRNA from 1 species
UAAGACGUAGGAGGCGAGCGUUAUCCGGAUUUACUGGGCGUAAAGGGCAAGUAGGCGGUAUGGCAAGUCAGUUGUGACAGAUCCCGGCUCAACUGGGAGAGGACGAAUGAGACUGCCAAACUAGAGGACAGGAGAGGGGAGCGGAAUUCCUUGUGUAGCGGUGGAAUGCUCAGAUACAAGGAGGAACACCAGUGGCGAAGGCGGCUCUCUGGCCUGAUCCUGACGCUGAAGAGCGAAAGCUAGGGUAGCAAACGGGCUUAGAUACCCCGGUAGUCCUAGCUGUAAACGUUGGGUACUAGGUAUUGGGAGUGAGAACACUUUCAGUGCCGAAGCGAACGCGUUAAGUACCCCGCCUGGGGACUACGGCCGCAAGGUUAAAACUUAAAUGAAUUGACGG